rnacentral:rRNA from 1 species
CCAACAGGGAUUGCCUCAGUAACGGCGAGUGAAGCGGCAACAGCUCAAAUUUGAAAUCUGGCCUAGCCCGAGUUGUAAUUUGCAGAGGAUGCUUCUGGUGCGGCGCUGUCCAAGUCCCCUGGAACGGGGCGCCACAGAGGGUGAGAGCCCCGUCUGGUCAGCCGCCAAGCCUGUGUGAAGCUCCUUCGACGAGUCGAGUAGUUUGGGAAUGCUGCUCUAAACGGGAGGUAGACCCCUUCUAAAGCUAAAUAUUGGCCAGAGACCGAUAGCGCACAAGUAGAGUGAUCGAAAGAUGAAAAGCACUUUGAAAAGAGGGUUAAACAGUACGUGAAAUUGUUAAAAGGGAAGCGCUUGUGACCAGACGUGCGCCGGGCGUUCAGCGGGCGUUCUCGCCCGUGCACUCGUCCCGGCGCAGGCCAGCGUCGGUUCGGACGGGGGGACAAAGGCGUCGGGAACGUAGCUCCUCCGGGAGUGUUAUAGCCCGACGUGCCAUGCCCCCGACCGGACCGAGGUUCGCGCUCUGCAAGGACGCUGGCAUAAUGGUCCCCAGCGGCCCGUCUUGAAACACGGACCAAGGAGUCGAGGUUUUGUGCGAGUGUUUGGGUGUCAAACCCGCACGCGUAAUGAAAGUGAACGUAGGUGGGAGCUUCGGCGCACCACCGACCGAUCCUGAUGUUCUCGGAUGGAUUUGAGUAGGAGCACAGGGCCUCGGACCCGAAAGAUGGUGAACUAUACUUGGAUAGGGUGAAGCCAGAGGAAACUCUGGUGGAGGCUCGCAGCGGUUCUGACGUGCAAAUCGAUCGUCAAAUCUGAGUAUGGGGGGCGAAAGACUAAUCGAACCAU